UGGUGGCGACCGGCGCACGGGUGAGUAACGCGUAUGCAACCUACCUAUCAGAGGGGAAUAACCCGGCGAAAGUCGGACUAAUACCGCAUAAAACAGGGGCACCGCAUGGUGAUAUUUGUUAAAGAAAUUCGCUGAUAGAUGGGCAUGCGUUCCAUUAGGUAGUUGGUGAGGUAACGGCUCACCAAGCCGACGAUGGAUAGGGGAACUGAGAGGUUGGUCCCCCACACUGGUACUGAGACACGGACCAGACUCCUACGGGAGGCAGCAGUGAGGAAUAUUGGUCAAUGGGCGGGAGCCUGAACCAGCCAAGUCGCGUGAAGGGAAAAGAAGGAUCUAUGGUUCGUAAACUUCUUUUGCGAGGGGAAUAAAGUGCAGGACGUGUCCUGUUUUGUAUGUACCCUGAGAAUAAGGAUCGGCUAACUCCGUGCCAGCAGCAGC
rnacentral:rRNA from 1 species